UCAUUUAUUCUUUAUUAUUAUUAUCAUUGCCUCUAUUUUACAGAUAAAGAAACUAAGGCCCAGGGAAGUUAAGUGACUUGCCCAGGGUCGCACAGCUAGCAAGUGAAAGAACCUGGAUUCCAUGGUGGUUGAUCAAGAACCAGACUGACCUCUUAACCAUACAAGAACAACCCUGGAAAUCCACCCAGGUGUUUCCAAGAAUAAUCUUCAGCUUCAACACCAACCAAAAGAUUUCCCGACAAAGGGAGCUUUCUCUUUGGAAGAGCAAUUCUGAUUGAACUGAAUGUCCUCUGUAUAAGGGCAUAAGUCAAGUGCAAGUCACUUUGCCAUCAUCCUCAAUAGCACCACAUCACCCCAAGAGGCAGCACAAAGGUGCCUGUCUUCCAAGAUCCCACGGAACCCUGCAUUUCUCCUCUUCUGGUCCUUUUCAUGCUGUAUAUGGUUAGAGUUUAAGAGUGUGGAUUCAAGAAACAGACUGCUGGAGUUCCAGUCCAAGAGCAUCUAUCUCCUAGCUGUGUGACCUCAGGCAAGUUACUUAACCUCUCUGUGCUUCAGUUUCUUUAUAAACUAGAUAAAACGAAUACCUUUCUCAUAGGGGUGUUGUAAGGGCUAGACGAAUCAAAA
rnacentral:lncRNA from 1 species